rnacentral:rRNA from 1 species
GAUGAACGCUGACAGAAUGCUUAACACAUGCAAGUCUACUUGAACUUCGGUUUGGGUGGCGGACGGGUGAGUAACGCGUAAAGAACUUGCCUCACAGAUAGGGACAACAUUUGGAAACGAAUGCUAAUACCUGAUAUUAUGAUUUUAGGGCAUCCUAGAAUUAUGAAAGCUAUAUGCACUGUGAGAGAGCUUUGCGUCCCAUUAGCUAGUUGGAGAGGUAACGGCUCACCAAGGCGAUGAUGGGUAGCCGGCCUGAGAGGGUGAUCGGCCACAAUCGGACUGAGACACGGCCCUUACUCCUACGGGAGGCAGCAGUGGGGAAUAUUGGACAAUGGACCAAGAGUCUGAUCCAGCAAUUCUGUGUGCACGAUGAAGUUUUUCGGAAUGUAAAGUGCUUUCAGUUGGGAAGAAAAAAAUGACGGUACCAACAGAAGAAGUGACGGCUAAAUACGUG